UCUUAAAAGGGUGCCACCCUGUCA
rnacentral:piRNA from 1 species